AGGGUUUGUUCUUGCUUCUCUUUUCUUAUUGCCAAAUAAAAUACAAUUAAAGCAACAUUUUCUAUGCCAGCCAGCACAGCUAACAUCGCUUUUCUGACGGCGCUUUUUUCUGUCAGCCAAUGAAAAUAAACGAUGCAGGAUUACCAGGGAGCAUCCAGCCUCCGUGGCUGGAGGGGGAUGCUGAGCAGCAGGCAUUCCAGUUGGAAACAGAAGGAUUUUAUUCCCGUGGUAUUGAGAGAAUUUGGGGAUGAUUACCUCUGAAAAGGUGACUUUAGACCAUUUGUGCAUCAGGGAAGAGGAUGGUGAUGUGUGUCCUGACAAUUGCUUUGGGUUCAUUUUCCCACUACGCUGAAGAUGGGACCUUCACUCAGUGGUCAGCAGAGCUGGGGGAUGAGCUAGCAGCUGCCUUUUCCUCCUUUCUGCCCAAGGAGCUGCUGUUUGUGACAAAGAGCACCCUGUCACCCCAACUGUGCCCCCUUGCAGGGCUGGGAGAGUGGCAGAGCCAUGUCUGUGCUCAUUGGAAUGCUGGUGCCAUCCUGCAGCUCAGCCUGCCUCCAACCCUGCUCCAGUCCCAGUGCAGGGGAUGCAGGGGGAGAGGGAGCUGGACACAGUGUCAAGGAGGGCCAGGUAAGGCUGCUGUGGUUUUUGGGAUGUUCAACUGCUCUGCUUUUAGAAACAAGGCUGUGCCGAAAGUGAGAGGAGAGCAUGGAGGCAGCAGGCUCUCAGCAGAAUCCUCUUACUGUGCCCCAGGUCUCAGCUACAGGCACAAAAACCAUUUCUGGCAAAUCCCUGGUGGUAGGAGCUGCCUGUUCCAGGAAGGUGAGGCAGUGUGUGUGCUGAAGCACAGGUAGGUGUCCAUCCCAGAGGCUUGUCCCUCCAUGGCACAAGGUGAUGGUCAGUGCCCUCCUGACCCUCUCCCAUUUAACCUGUGGGAGGUGGGACCUGGGGAAAACCACCAAGCUGGGUGACCAAACCUUCUCCUCCUCUUCCUCAGGAUGGAGCUGUCCAUCUUGUGUUCCCCUUCUUCCAGCAAGGUCAGCUCAUCCUUUGAGAGAAGUUCCUGCUGGAAACUGAGAACAGAACCACUCCAGGCGUGCAGUGGAGCCCGGGGCAGUGACCCAGCUCUCACCCCAGCUGCAGGGUGUGGAUGGGGGCACCCUCAGCCUCAGGGGUGCUGGGGGCAGGUAAGAGGCACCCAGUCCCACACAGCCUGUAAAACCUGGCCGUGCUGGCAGCCUGGAGCUGGGCUGGGGGACACGAGGGGCUGUGGGAUGUGGCACACCUCGCUCCUGCCCCGCGCCUGCCUUGUCAGGUCUGAUCAGGAGGAGGAUCAGUUGGCCCUGUUCCUCGCUCUCCAGAUUUAAUUAACGGGCCUUUCAUCUCUACCCUGAAGGAAUCUGCUAUCUUCUGUCUUCUUAAUUAACGUUCAUUAAGCAAAUCAGAAGAACAUUUUCUCCUCUCCGCCUCCACGGCUUUUAACCCUUGCGGGGAACCAGGUCUGUGUUGGGGCAGAAGAAGCCUCCUGGACAGGCUGGUGUCAUCACAGCCUUGGUCACCACAUCCCUCAAGUGCUUGGACCAAAGUCCUGGAGCAUUGGGUGAAGUCUCUCCAGGUACAGAGGAGUUCAGGUGAGGUUGGAC